rnacentral:rRNA from 1 species
GAUGAACGCUGGCGGCGUGCCUAAUACAUGCAAGUCGAGCGAACAGACGAGGAGCUUGCUCCUCUGACGUUAGCGGCGGACGGGUGAGUAACACGUGGAUAACCUACCUAUAAGACUGGGAUAACUUCGGGAAACCGGAUCUAAUACCGGAUAAUAUAUUGAACCGCAUGGUUCAAUAGUGAAAGACGGUUUUGCUGUCACUUAUAGAUGGAUCCGCGCCGCAUUAGCUAGUUGGUAAGGUAACGGCUUACCAAGGCAACGAUGCGUAGCCGACCUGAGAGGGUGAUCGGCCACACUGGAACUGAGACACGGUCCAGACUCCUACGGGAGGCAGCAGUAGGGAAUCUUCCGCAGUGGGCGAAAGCCUGACGGAGCAACGCCGCGUGAGUGAUGAAGGUCUUCGGAUCGUAAAACUCUGUUAUUAGGGAAGAACAAAUGUGUAAGUAACUAUGCACGUCUUGACGGUACCUAAUCAGAAAGCCACGGCUAACUACGUG